rnacentral:rRNA from 1 species
UACGGAGGGGGCUAGCGUUGUUCGGAAUUACUGGGCGUAAAGCGCACGUAGGCGGCUUGGUAAGUUAGAGGUGAAAGCCUGGAGCUCAACUCCAGAAUUGCCUUUAAGACUGCCGAGCUAGCAGGUGAGAGAGGUGAGUGGAAUUCCGAGUGUAGAGGUGGAAUUCGUAGAUAUUCGGAAGAACACCAGUGGCGAAGGCGGCUCACUGGCUCAUACUGGACGCUGAGGUGCGAAAGCGUGGGGAGCAAACAGG